UACGUAGGGGGCAAGCGUUGUCCGGAAUCAUUGGGCGUAAAGCGCGUGUAGGCGGCUGGGUAAGUCCGCUCUGAGAGCCCGGGGCUCAACCCCGGGAGGCGGGUGGAUACUGCUCAGCUCGAGUCCGGAAGAGGAGUGUGGAAUUCCUGGUGUAGCGGUGAAAUGCGCAGAUAUCAGGAGGAACACCAAUGGCGAAGGCAGCACUCUGGGACGGUACUGACGCUGAGACGCGAAAGCGUGGGGAGCAAACAGG
rnacentral:rRNA from 1 species